rnacentral:lncRNA from 1 species
GCAGGGUCCCCGGAUGCAACCUGGUCCAAGCCCUGCUCCAGCAGGGACACCCAGAGCAGAGCACCCAGGGCCAUCUCACAUUUUUAAUGUGAAGAGUACUAGAAGGGAAUGAUAGAGUUGCCUGGAGUGUUGAGUUCUGCAAUUUAAUGAACACGUGUUAAAGUAAUGGAAGGAAUCCAUCUGAUUCAUGCACUUCAGUUUUGAACAUUUCUGUCAGCACUUCUAGCGUGAUGCUUUGGACGCAGUGCUGGGAGUCAUUGAGGGCCCCACUGGUGGAAACCACCUGCAGCAGAGGCUUUAGUGUCUUAGAGACUCAGGAAACUUACCACUUUAGUCAAAAUGGCUGUAUUGAGGUAGCCUGGCUUGUUUUUUAUACAUCUGGAGGAAGACAUUUGCCAUCCAAGGUGUGGAGUUCCAGAACAACCUCCUAG